rnacentral:rRNA from 1 species
AUUGAACGCUGGCGGCAGGCUUAACGCGUGCAAGUCGAGCGGGGAAAGGUAGCUUGCUACCUGACCUAGCGGCGGACGGGUGAGUAAUGCUUAGGAAUCUGCCUAUUAGUGGGGGACAACAUUCCGAAAGGAAUGCUAAUACCGCAUACGCCCUACGGGGGAAAGCAGGGGAUCUUCGGACCUUGCGCUAAUAGAUGAGCAUAAGUCAGAUUAGCUAGUUGGUGGGGUAAAGGCCUACCAAGGCGACGAUCUGUAGCGGGUCUGAGAGGAUGAUCCGCCACACUGGGACUGAGACACGGCCCAGACUCCUACGGGAGGCAGCAGUGGGGAAUAUUGGACAAUGGGCGAAAGCCUGAUCCAGCCAUGCCGCGUGUGUGAAGAAGGCCUUUUGGUUGUAAAGCACUUUAAGCGAGGAGGAGGCUACUUGGAUUAAUACUCUAGGAUAGUGGACGUUACUCGCAGAAUAAGCACCGGCUAACUCUGUGCCAGCCGCCGCAGUAA